rnacentral:rRNA from 1 species
GAUGUGAAAGCCCACGACUCAAUCGUGGAAGUGCAUUGGAUACUGGCAGACUUGAGUAUAGGAGGGGUGAGCGGAAUUCCAGGUGUAGAGGUGAAAUUCGUAGAUAUCUGGAGGAACAACGGAGGCGAAGGCGGCUCACUGGACUAUUACUGACGCUGAGGUGCGAAAGCGUGGGGAGCGAACAGGAUUAGAUACCCUGGUAGUCCACGCUGUAAACGAUGAGUACUAGGUGUCGGGGGCCUUACCCCCUCGGUGCCGUAGCUAACGCGUUAAGUACUCCGCCUGGGGACUACGGCCGCAAGGCUAAAACUCAAAGAAAUUGACGGGGGCCCGCACAAGCGGUGGAGUAUGUGGUUUAAUUCGAUGCAACGCGAAGAACCUUACCUGGGCUUGACAUCCCGCGCUAUCCGGGGAAACUCGGAGUUCUCUUUUGAGACGCGGUGACAGGUGCUGCAUGGCUGUCGUCAGCUCGUGUCGUGAGAUGUUGGGUUAAGUCCCGCAACGAGCGCAACCCUCGCCGUUAGUUGCCAGCAUUAAGUUGGGCACUCUAACGGGACCGCUUGCCGAUAAGGCAGAGGAAGGUGGGGAUGACGUCAAGUCAGCAUGGCCCUUACGCCCAGGGCUACACACGUACUACAAUGGCAAGUACAAAGCGUCGCUAAUCCGCAAGGUGGAGCUAAUCGCACAAAACUUGUCUCAGUUCGGAUUGGAGUCUGCAACUCGACUCCAUG